GAUGAACGCUGGCGGCGUGCCUAAUACAUGCAAGUCGAGCGAACAGACGAGGAGCUUGCUCCUCUGACGUUAGCGGCGGACGGGUGAGUAACACGUGGAUAACCUACCUAUAAGACUGGGAUAACUUCGGGAAACCGGAGCUAAUACCGGAUAAUAUAUUGAACCGCAUGGUUCAAUAGUGAAAGACGGUUUUGCUGUCACUUAUAGAUGGAUCCGCGCCGCAUUAGCUAGUUGGUAAGGUAACGGCUUACCAAGGCGACGAUGCGUAGCCGACCUGAGAGGAUGAUCAGCCACACUGGAACUGAGACACGGUCCAGACUCCUACGGGAGGCAGCAGUGGGGAAUAUUCGGCAAUGGGCGAAAGCCUGACGGAGCCACGCCGCGUGAGUGAAGAAGGUCUUCGGAUCGUAAAGCCCUGUUGUUAGGAAAGAAAAACAGUAUGAGAAAAUACGCCCGUCUUGACGGUACCUAAAGAGAAAGCACCGGCUAACUACGUG
rnacentral:rRNA from 1 species